CUAAAAUAUAUGAAAGGAUGACCAUCAAUCAUGUAAAAGAUAUUUGUAAAAUGUCCGUAGUUAGAUACGAAUGUAACUUGAACAAACACAGUAUCUACUUGUCUAUUAAGGGAUAAUGUUGAGCAGCGGAUGAGAAAAGCCAGAAGUUUAGGAUUUAGAGACAUGCAAAAGUACUAAGAAAGGAGACUCAAUAGGAAACAUGGAAGGAGAUGGAAGCAAAGAGAGAGAAAAAGAAUGAGAGAACGGGAGAGAGAGAGAGACACUGAGAGAGAGAGAGGGUAUGUACCUCUAAAGUCGGGUAAGGAUCUUGGCCCCAGGGGCUGAAACUAGAGUGAUUCAUUGUUAUGGGCUGAAUUGUGUCUGCCCAAAAUUCGUAUGUUGAUGUCUUAAUCCUCAGUAACUCAGGAUGAGACGGUAUUUGGAGAUGCGGCCUUGAAAAAGACAAGUUAAAAUGAUGCCACUGGGGCUGGGUGCAGUGGCUCACACCUGUAAUCCCAGCACUUUGGGAAGCCAAAGCAGGAGGAUAGCUUGAGCUCCGGAGUUUGAGACUAUCCUGGGCAACACAGGGAGACCCCAUCUCUACAAAAAAAAAAAAAAAAAAAAAAAAAAAGCUGGGCAUCGUGGUGUGCACCUGUAGUUCCAGCUACUUCGGAGGCUGAGGCAGGAGAAUCACUUCAGAGAGGCUGAGGCUGCAGUAAGCUGUGAUCAUGCUACUGCACUCCAUCCUGGGUGACAGAGCAAGACACUGUUUCAAAAAAAUAAAUAAAAGCAAAUAAAAGUAUGCCAUUGGGUGAGCCCUAAUGCAAUCUGACUGGUAUCCUUAGAGAAGAGAACAUUUGGACACACACACAGAUACCAGGGAUGUGUGUGCAUGGAGGAAAGGCCACGUGAGGUCACAGGAAGAAGGCAGCUGUCUGCAAGCCCAGGAGAGAGGCCUCAGGGGAAACCAACGCUGCCGAUACCCCAUCUUAGACUUCCAGCCUCCAGAACUGAGACAAUGCGUGUUGUUUGAAGCCACCCAGCCUGUAGUAUUUUGCGAUGGCAGCCCAAGCAAACUAACAUCUUUAUCACAACCCCAUGGAGGAGGGUGUGGGAUUUCCCCACAGUGGAGCCCUAGGCUUGUCCUGCCACAUAUGACUCCACCACAGGGCAGGGCCCGAUGACGAUGCUGGCCUGGCGGGGGACUUGGCUGACCCGGCCUCCGCACAGGUGGACUAGUUCACAGAGCUUGGCCACUGGGGGGCUGCUGGCAGGCGAGACAAACAUCACUGGCUGGUCGGCAAAGAGGGUUCCGCGGUACGGCCCUGCAGACAAGUGGCACUCACUUCGGCACAGCUGUGGGGCAGACAGAGACAGAAUUACAGAGGUGGGACCACUCCAGUCUCCAUAGCGUAGGCGAACUGUUGCAGUUUACUUCCUUUUUUAUGAAAAGAAUAGACUGAAUGUAAGGCUGCCAUGCUCCUGUGAAUUUUGAAUUCUGAGAAUCCAGAGAAGAUGAUGACAUUAAUGACAUAAAACUGACAUUUUCUGAAGUAGCCAUGCGUAAAACUCCAAGGAAACAAAUUAGAAAAAAAAAAGUGUAGGCCUUUGAAUUAUUCCAAAGCCUCAAACAAAAUAUUGAAAAGCAACUGUUAGCACAGCAGAGCCAUAGCUAGGCUGAACUCUCACUGAAGUAACUUGGUGACGUGUGCAAGUGACGGCAAGAUUCUAAUGCACUGCAAAUGCCGGCUGUGCUGGGAGAGCGUCAUUCAAUCCAGCGCGCUCCAGGCUCUUGGCAGAAAAGGACUUUUAUAGGAUGUAAGAAAUGCUGUAAAUCCAAUACCAUGGUUUGGAUGGGGAAAGGGAGAGUGAGGCAAUGCAAAAGUAGAAUUCCUAGAGCCAUUCCCGAAACACGCUGGGUUUGGGGGAGAGAGGUGUCUCGAGAUUGUUUCAAUGAGCUGUUGGGAAACAUUUCAGAAGCAGGGAUGAGAAGCUGCUCUGCUUCUCAUUGUGGCAAUGUGUGGUCAUCUGUUUGACUCAGAGGACCGCGGGAAGGCCCAGUUAUUCUGAACACGCAUUUUCCUAACUACGGGUUGGUAAAGACUUCUUCAGUGUACGCACCCUGCGAGAUGCUAUGGGUUAUGUGCCAUCCACGUUUUGUUUUGCGUAUUUUCCCUGCUUAUUUUUCCUACAAUAUCUGAAAUUAAUGG
rnacentral:lncRNA from 1 species